CUGCCACUGCAAAAGACUUGCACUGGCAUUCAAAAUUGGGACGUAACAUAGUGAUUAAAUCCGGAUUAAUCAAAGUGUUACCAUGGUGUCCAUUUUCAUCUGGAUGCUGCUGCUGUGUUCAGGUAUUCAUGUAUAUGGCCAUGCAGAUGGAACAGACAUGAAUGGUGUAAAAUCUGACAGGGAUUGGUAUGGAGAAAACGUGGCGAAGAGCAAUCAUCCAGCCAAGACUAAAAUCAUGUGUUCAUUGAGGUGCAGGGCUUGUGAUUGGGCUCUGAAAGAAGUGAAGACAUCAAUUGAUGGCGAAAUUACA